rnacentral:sRNA from 1 species
UGACAAACCGAGCAUAGCUCGCUCCAU